CAAAUGCAAUACCAUGGCUGGCCAGGCCUGGUUUAUGCACCCAGGCUUAUGGGCAUGGGUUGAAAGUCCAUGAACAUUAAAACAGGAAUGGAAUAACUUUCUUGGUCCAGAAGAUCACCCCACAGAAAAGCCAAGGUCUGAGGCAAGUGUUGGGGAAAAGAAGUGUUCCACACAGAGGCCAAAGUAUGGACCAGUGGGAUCUCACAAUCAAAUUCCAGAAGGUUCCAUCCAUGUUGGACGGCCUGGGGGAGAAUGCUGAGCCCAUCGUGGCCAGGAAGCAGAGUGAGGAGCAGGAGAAAGGAAAUAUCCAGCAAUUUGGCUGCUGUUUACUCACCUUUCUGAAAGCUUCGUUUUGAACUGUCACGCAAUUUAUACUCCAACCAAAUACAUGACAACUGAUGGACAGCUUGCAUCAUUCUGUGGCUGUGGUAGCCUUCGGCAAUAUAUGCCAAGUGAACCUUCCAGACAUGGUAUAAAAACACAUGUCCUGGUAGAUGAGAAGACGUUUUACACCUUGAGUUUAGAAAUUUAUCCUGGAACUCUG